UUUAUGACUACAGACAAUAGCAUGACAGGUGACAACACACAGAAACACACACGAUGUGCGUGUAAUGUGUUUAUGACUACAGACAAUAGCAUGACAGGUGACAACACACAGAAACACACACGAUGUGCGUGUAAUGUGUUUAUGACUACAGACAAUAGCAUGACAGGUGACAACACACAGAAACACACACGAUGUGCGUGUAAUGUGUUUAUGACUACAGACAAUAGCAUGACAGGUGACAACACACAGAAACACACACGAUGUGCGUGUAAUGUGUUUAUGACUACAGACAAUAGCAUGACAGGUGACAACACACAGAAACACACACGAUGUGCGUGUAAUGUGUUUAUGACUACAGACAAUAGCAUGACAGGUGACAACACACAGAAACACACACGAUGUGCGUGUAAUGUGUUUAUGACUACAGACAAUAGCAUGACAGGUGACAACACACAGAAACACACACGAUGUGCGUGUAAUGUGUUUAUGACUACAGACAAUAGCAUGACAGGUGACAACACACAGAAACACACAGGAUGUGCGUGUAAUGUGUUUAUGACUACAGACAAUAGCAUGACAGGUGACAACACACAGAAACACACACGAUGUGCGUGUAAUGUGUUUAU